AUGCCGUCUUCCUCCUCGUCACGCCGCCGUCGAGACGGGCGACGCGGCCGCCAUCCGCCGACGGCGCCGGUGCCGGCGGAGGAGACGAGGAACUGGGCGGAGCUGCCGCUGGACGCGAUCUCGGCCAUCCUCCACAAGCUCGACCACGUCGACAUCCUGAUGGGGCCCAGCCAGGUGUGCCGCUCCUGGCGCGGCGCCGCCCGCGACGAGCCCGAGCUGUGGCGCCGCAUCAACAUGCUAGGCCACGCCGACCUCGAGCACGAGCUCAACUUCCCCGGGAUGGCGCAGGCCGCCGUCCGCCGCAGCGCGGGGAGGUGCGAGGCGUUCUGGGGCGAGUACGCCUGCGACCACGACCUCCUCCUCUACCUCGCCGACCAGGCAUCAUCUCUCAAGAGUCUUCGCCUCAUUUCUUGUUAUAAUUUUGAGGAUGAAGGACUUCAAGAGGCAAUAGUGAAGUUCCCAUUGCUUGAGGAGCUUGAGCUUUCAUUAUGUGCAAAUGUGGGUGAGAGUGGUGUGUUUGGGGUUGUUGGCAGGGCAUGCCCACAACUGAAGCGCUUCAGACUGAGUAAGGACGUGUUCUAUGAUUUUGAAGCCAGUGGGUACGACAAAGACGAUGAAGCCCUGGGGAUUGCAACUAUGCAUGAGUUACGGUCUUUGCAGCUGUUUGGCAAUUGCCUCACCAAUAAAGGACUGACAGCUAUCCUGGACAAUUGCCGCCACCUGGAGUCCCUUGACAUUCGUCAUUGCUUCAACGUCAACAUGGAUGACGCCCUGCGCGCAAAGUGUGGCAGGAUAAGCACAGUGAGGCUUCCCAAUGACUCAACUGAUGAUUAUGACUUCGAGGUGCAGGAGCCUGUCUGGGCGGAUUCAGGGUCCUUUUUGGGUGAUUAUAUGGGAUCUGGUUCUGACUAUGAGCUUGACUCGGAAGAUUACGAUGACUACUGCGAUCCUUCCCGCUACCUUGAUGGUGUGUACGAGGACGAGCUUAAUGAAGAAGAUAGGAUGCUUCUCAGGGGCAUGCACAUGCUAAUGAAGUGA
rnacentral:rRNA from 1 species